CAGCCGUAAACUAUGCUCGCUAGGUGUCAGGGACGGUGCGACCGUUUCUGGUGCCGCAGGGAAGCCGUGAAGUGAGCCACCUGGGAAGUACGGCCGCAAGGCUGAAACUUAAAGGAAUUGGCGGGGGAGCACAACAACGGGUGGAGCUUGCGGUUUAAUUGGAUUCAACGCCGGAAAUCUUACCGGGACCGACAGCAACAUGAAGGCCAAGCUGAAGACUUUGCCGGAUUAGCUGAGAGGUGGUGCAUGGCGUCAGUGACUGU
rnacentral:rRNA from 1 species